rnacentral:rRNA from 1 species
GAUGAACGCUAGCGGGAGGCCUAACACAUGCAAGCCGAGCGGUAGAGUUUCUUCGGAAACUUGAGAGCGGCGCACGGGUGCGUAACACGUGUGCAACCUACCUUUAUCUGGGGGAUAGCCUUUCGAAAGGAAGAUUAAUACCUCAUAAUAUAAUGAUUGGCAUCAAUUAUUAUUGAAAACUCCGGUGGAUAGAGAUGGGCACGCGCAAGAUUAGAUAGUUGGUGAGGUAACGGCUCACCAAGUCAAUGAUCUUUAGGGGUCCUGAGAGGGAGAUCCCCCACACUGGUACUGAGACACGGACCAGACUCCUACGGGAGGCAGCAGUGAGGAAUAUUGGACAAUGGGUGAGAGCCUGAUCCAGCCAUCCCGCGUGAAGGAUGACGGUCCUAUGGAUUGUAAACUUCUUUUGUACAGGGAUAAACCUACCCUCGUGAGGGUAGCUGAAGGUACUGUACGAAUAAGCACCGGCUAACUCCGUG